rnacentral:sRNA from 1 species
UGUAACACCCGUCAUCACAGGGCGUUGUA